GGGUUAGUAGGUUGGUCAUGCCUCUGGUAUGUACUGGUCUCACUGAUUCCUCCUUCCUGAUGAGCCGUAAUGCCAUUAAUUUGGUGUUGCGGGGAAUUUGGACUGUUACUUUGAAAAAAUUAGAGUGUUUAAAGCAAGCUAACGCUUGAAUACAUUAGCAUGGAAUAAUGAAAUAGGACGUUCGAUCCUAUUUUGUUGGUUUCUAGAUAGAUAGUA
rnacentral:rRNA from 1 species